rnacentral:tRNA from 1 species
GGACAUUUAGCUCAGCUGGGAGAGCAAUCGGCUCAUAACCGAUAGGUCCUGGAUUCGAACCCCAGAAUGUCCA